CGGUGGCUCCUGAGAAAACUAGCUCAUUAGCAGCUAGAUGUUCCUCUGCGUUUGCCAGCUAGUCUCUCACCUCGGCCGUCUGCUCUUUGGUGGAGGACAGGUGGGGAUGUCGGAGGUUGCUGACUGAAACUGGCCAGUGGACACGGAGUGUAACUGUAAACAGGGCAUUGGGAGCAGUCAGCCUUGCCCGGUGAGAACGGACAUAAAGGUCAGAAAGGAUAUAAAGAGGGCCUGGCUUCCUGAACCAUGGGAAAUAAGAGCAAUCUAACUGGGGUCAAAGGGAUACAGGCACUGCAGCCGGACGCCUAUCUAUGAUUGAGAUUUCACAAUCAGUGCUCCAUAAUGCCGAGGUUUCCACGGCGACCGGGCUGCAGCGCUGCCUCGUCUUUGCUGAAGCGCAGAGAUCACAGGUCAAGGCUUAGGCAGGUGUCAUUUUCGAUGGAGAAACCCUCUGGCAGAUGUAAUAUCAAAGUAGUGGCUGGAGUUCCUUUUGAAAUGCCGCCGCCCCUCUGAGCAGAAGGGACCAAUCGAUGGUAUUGAUCCACACGGCCAUCAGCAGUAAGGAGGAGAUCCCGCGGUCGUAUGGGGAAGUAUCGCGGACCUCCCCAUUUCGUGUGUGUGCUGAGCAGACUCCAAGACGCUGACGCUCAAUGGCACUUUGAUGGCCGGGGCUGCACAGAUGUUCAGACCUAAUCAAGAUAAAUGGGAGCCUCCUGCCGCAUGCUGAAAAGUCAAUAUGGGGGGGGGGGUCCGACUGUGGCACCUGGAGAAAAACUCCCCCGUUGAGCUCUGAGGCCUCGCAGACUUUAGAUUGCUCCGAGGAAACAGCGAGGAAGAGACUCACAACAGGCGGCAGUUGGCAAGUUUCCUCCUACUCGGCUCCGAUUCGGCAAUUUCAGCUCCAAGCGCCGAAUCUCCCAAGAUUUAGAAAAAUAAUGGGGGACAUCAUUCACCCAUGUAUGCUCACUGUCACUGCUACUUAGGAGUAACAAUGUGCAACAUCCGGUGUAUCACAACUGUUUUUUUGCAAACUU